rnacentral:misc_RNA from 1 species
GAUGAAGAACGUAGCGAAAUGCGAUAAGUAAUGCGAAUUGCAGAAUCCGUGAGUCAUCGAAUCUUUGAACGCACAUUGCGCCCUCCGGUAUUCCGGAGGGCAUGCCUGUUCGAGCGUCAUUUCACCACUCAAGCCUCGCUUGGUAUUGGGCAACGCGGUCCGCCGCGUGCCUCAAAUCGACCGGCUGGGUCUUCUGUCCCCUAAGCGUUGUGGAAACUAUUCGCUAAAGGGUGUUCGGGAGGCUACGCCGUAAAACAACCCCAUUUCUAAGGUUGACCUCGGAUCAGGUAGGGAUACCCGCUGAACUUAAGCAUAUCAAUAAGCGGAGGA